GAACCGGCGGUGGACGGAACGCUCGCCAACCCGGUCAGGUCCGGAAGGAAGCAGCCGUAACGAAUCCGGUCUGGGUCAUAGCCGGUUCCCA
rnacentral:SRP_RNA from 1 species